GAUUAUGGAGGACUCAUAAAGUCCUCACAAACAUCUGUGUGGCAGAUCAGACCCGUUCAGGCUGGAUCUGCUCUGACAGAAUGCUCAACAUCAGAAAAGACUUUGUUCAUCCUGAAUCUCACCUGCUCAGAUCCAACAGAUCCUGCAGCUCAUAACGUCACUGCUGUCGUCCUGCUGGUGAUUGUGCUGUUUAUGAUCGCUGCUCUAUGUUUCUACUGUAAGGCCAGCAGGGGGCAAAAGCCAAGUGCACCUGACAGCACUGAGCUGGUUUACUAUAACUUCAGUGUUUGUUCAGCUGAAGGAGGGCCGACUAAAGAGGAAGGAGCUCAGGGAGCAGAGGAGGAUCUCCAUGGAGAUCAUCUCACAUCCAGAUGAAUUUUUUAGCUGACACACAGCCGUCCGUCCUGUCGAAUAACACAGCUGUUUUCUAUUGAACACAAACGCUCAUCGCCUCAUCUUACACG
ensembl:lncRNA